AGGUACUGGCUUGUAGCUUUCGAUUCAAAAAUCUGGUUUGACCAUAUUUACACGGAAGAGAUUUCCAUAUUAAUUGAAGGAAAAAAACUUAGUUCAUAGUCUUUUGUGGAUAUCACACCGACAAAAAGUGAAGCCAACUGCUGUAGAUGACUGGGUUUUAUGAAUCAAACCUUUUCACUUUGAAUUCAUAAAACCUUUUCACUUUGAAUUCUUUGGAAUGACAUUAGAAGGAACCAUAAUGGCAUCAAAACUUGAAGCUGUUGCAACAGGUGACCUUAAUGAUUAUGCCAAUUGGGCUCCAUGUUCCUUGAGAGGACAAGUAUUAUUGAGCAUUCCAAAAUAUAAGACGGGCCCUAUGCUUUAAAAGUUUUAAAAUUUAUUCCUCAUAAUCAUUUGUGAUU
rnacentral:lncRNA from 1 species